AGAGUGAGAGGACAGUGCGAGUCCUUCGGUGAUCCCGUAGGUGGUUUUCCCAGGGUGAGGCUCAGUCAUUGCACUCGGGCUGUACUGACCCCUGCGAUUUCCCCAAAUGCGGGGAACUCGACUGCAUAAUUCGUGGCAGUGGGGGACUGCGUUCGCGCUCUCCCCUG